rnacentral:rRNA from 1 species
UACGUAGGGUGCAGGCGUUAAUCGGAAUUACUGGGCGUAAAGCGUGCGCAGGCGGCUCCUUAAGUCAGAUGUGAAAUCCCCGGGCUUAACCUGGGAACUGCGUUUGAUACUGUGGGGCUUGAGUGUGGAAGAGGGGGGUGGAAUUCCAGGUGUAGCAGUGAAAUGCGUAGAGAUCUGGAGGAACACCGGUGGCGAAGGCGGCAUCCUGGACCGGCAUUGACGCUGAGGCGCGAAAGCCAGGGGAGCAAACGGG